AGAUCAAACGAUCUAAACUGAAGGUUCCAAAGAACAGGAUCAAACGAACCAAGUCAAAGACGCUCAAGAAGAAGAUUAAGCGUGCUAUGGCAAAGAUGUCCAAAAACAAGUGCAAGCGGUUCAUCAAGAAGAACUUCAAGAUCAUUCGCAAGUCAGUCGGCAAGCUGAGGGGUGUUUGCAGGAGGCUGAAUGCUUGCAAGAAGACAGUUUAAGUUCAGUAGACCAUCAUAAAAACAAGAAUUUAGACCCAAGCCAAACAGACCUUUUAGUGGUG